rnacentral:rRNA from 1 species
ACGGGAGGCAGCAGUGAGGAAUAUUGGUCAAUGGUCGGAAGACUGAACCAGCCAUGCCGCGUGCAGGAAUAAGGCCCUAUGGGUCGUAAACUGCUUUUGACGCAGAGCAAUAAGGUCCACGCGUGGACCGAUGAGAGUAUGUGUCGAAUAAGCAUCGGCUAACUCCGUGCCAGCAGCCGCGGUAAUACGGAGGAUGCAAGCGUUAUCCGGAUUUAUUGGGUUUAAAGGGUGCGUAGGCUGUGCGACAAGUCAGCGGUGAAAGCCCGGGGCCUAACUCCGGAACUGCCGUUGAUACUGCCGCGCUGGAAUACGGAUGCCGUGGGAGGAAUGAGUAGUGUAGCGGUGAAAUGCAUAGAUAUUACUCAGAACACCGAUUGCGAAGGCAUCUCACGAAUCCGUCAUUGACGCUGAGGCACGAAAGCGUGGGGAUCAAACAGGAUUAGAUACCCUGGUA